rnacentral:rRNA from 1 species
AUUGAACGCUGGCGGCAGGCCUAACACAUGCAAGUCGAACGAGUGGCGGACGGGUGAGUAAUUUCUGGGAAACUGCCUGAUGGAGGGGGAUAACUACUGGCAACGGUAGCUACUACCGCAUACCAUCUGAUGUGCCCAGAUGGGCUUAGCUAGUCGGUGGGGUAAAGGCUCACCUAGGCGACGAUCCCUAGCUGGUCUGAGAGGAUGACCAGCCACACUGGAACUGAGACACGGUCCAGACUCCUACGGGAGGCAGCAGUGGGGAAUAUUGGACAAUGGGCGCAAGCCUGAUGCAGCCAGGCCGCGUGUAUGAAGAAGGCCUUCGGGUUGUAAAGUACGGUCAGCGGGGAGGCGUUACCCGCAGAAGAAGCAACGGCUAACUCCGUGCCAGCCGCCGCGGUAAUUC